rnacentral:miRNA from 1 species
UGUGAAUUAGGUAGUUUCAUGUUGUUGGGCUUUUAAUUUUAAACACAAGAACAUCAAACUACCUGAUUUACUCC